AGUUUAUUGCUGUGGUAAGAGGUCGAAUAAUAUUGAUAAUGUCAAGGAUAUUGCAGUACUGCAAAUUGUCAUUCUUAUGCAGCAGCAUUAUAAAUUAAGGUCUUGUCUGGGUUCAUAACAUUUGAAAAUAUAUUUCACAGUAUUUUUUCCAUUGCUGUUGUUUUGUAGUUUUUUGAUGCAUGUGUACAGUACUGGAAUACUUUAGAAUGGUUUACUUUUUAUUAAUGAGAACCUCUUUGUAGUAUAUAUUUUCUAAUGUAGAAUAGGAUUUCCAUUCUUUAUACUAUUCUAAUGUAGAAUAGGAUUUCCAUUCUUUCUUCCUUCUUGUAGGUGAAAAAAUAGUAAUUUUUGCCAUCUUUUUUGCUGUAAAUAAGAUGGCCUGUUCAUUGGUCAGAGGACAUUAAAGCUGUUGUGCCACUUUAAGGGAGGUGUAUUCAAUAUUAAAACUGGGUUGAAGGACCUUUCCUAUUUGAUAGGAACUUCUUAUCCACCUGGCAAUUUGCCAUUGGUACUAUUGAUAACAUAUAUAGCCAGUGAGUGUUCAUUUUUAGUAGCUGCAUUCUGAUUAUAAGAAAGAGCAGGUUUGUGUUCAAUGCAAGGCAUCUCUUGUGAAUUUAGUGGUUACAGACUGACCUCUACUUUACAAAUUUCAAAAUUAAUGUAUGAUAAUGUGCAAAUCUUUAAAGAUCAACUUACGGUAGUAUGUAACUGAAAUAUGAGGUAAUAUACCAUAAAUGAAAAUAAGACAUUCUGUAAAAAUCAACUUGCGGUAAUAACUGAAAUAUGAGAUUAUGCCAAAAAUGAAAAAGAAAACAUUUGUUCUUAUUAAAGAGGAAAUAAAGGAAUAGGCACAUAUUAAAAGUAGUGUAAAAUGUAAUGCACUAUACAGGAGUCAAUGCAGUUCCCUCACUGACAUCCAAUCCAUCUCAUAAUUGGUGGUAAGGAAUCAAAUUUGGUUGUCAGUCAGACUACAUCAUGUGAUCCUAGUUCUUUUGUAAACAUGUAUUGAGGUUGCUGUGAAUGUUUAAGGGUUCUGUGUUAAGAUGAUAGUAAGGAUUCCUUAGGAUAAGGUGAUUUAUCUGGAUGAUCUGUGUGGCACUCAUGACAUUUCAUGGUUUCCCUGAGAACUGCAGAGGUCUCCUCUAUUCUUUUUAGCUUUCGAGAGGCAUUGGGGAUGUUACCUUCAUGACUACUGCUUGAAACACUUAGCAGCAUUUUCUUGUGUAGUUGCAGAAUAGUGGACAUCCUAACUUGCCUCCUUACUAUUUUAUAUGAACUUUUAACGGUAAGGAUUUUUCAUAGUUUGGUUUUUGUCUUGCACUCAACUUAUCCCUGUGUUGGGUACUGCCAGGUGCAGUGCAUUGUAGAUACCAUUAAAGUGCUCUCUAUAGUACUUGUAUCAGUCUUGUCCCUGGCCAUGCAGUCUUUUUCCUUUUCAUCUAUUCCUAUUGGUCUGAUCUGGUAAGCUGUUAAACUUCUUGAAGUUUAUUGUACUUCAGUUUUCAUCUCUCACUUAAGAACAAGUGCUUCAUGCAAGCCGUAUGAUAAUUUUAAAAAGUGGCUUGGUAAACUAAUGCACAGGAAUCCUACAGUGCAAAAUAUAAUGUAGAUCUACUGUACAUUGUACAUUUUUCUCACUGUAACACAGACUAUGGAUAAUGAACUGUUUAACUAUUACAAAAGUUGAAACAAGAUAAUGUACUUAAUAUAUUUUAAUUAUAUUGCAUUGGCAAAACUACUUACUUGAACACUUAUCUUUUAUGGGAAUGUUACACCAAGUAAAGCUUACAGAAUUUUGCUGUGACUUGACAUAUCUCCCACUUGUACAUAUUUGCCUUGCCUGUGUGCUUUAUUCUCCUAUACAAGCUGAGAGUGUAAAAAUUAGGACCUAGAGCUCAAUAAUACAUACAGCAAUAUUUUGAGCAUGAAAUGUCAGCAGGUUUUUUGGGGAUAGAAGCAACUGGUUCUGUAGUUGUCAAGACACUACACUGGCAGUGAAUGACUGAGGACUUGUCAGUUUGGUCUAAUGUAACAUAAGAGGAUGCACUGAUGCCUCAUCCUGGUCAUGAAAUUGUGCUGAGUGUCAGAUUCUUUUGAUUGUUUUAUACCAUUGUUAACCAUAGUACGAUCUGCAACGGUAUGUACUCACUACGUAAAUAUAAACCUAUGUCUGAUUACUUCUAACUAACGUUAUAGGGUUUAAAUUCUAAUAAUUUGUUAGUCAGUCUUGGACUGUCAUGCCAAAAAUGGUAUGAAAGGUAGACAUAAUCUUAUGGGUUCUCAAGAAGAGGCAAAAGAUAGCUUAAAAUUAUAUUUUGUACGUAAUUAUGUACAGAGAAUUGAGAAUUGCAAUGUGCAAUGAAUCCCUCUUUAUAAUAGGAAUUUAAUUGAAGAAUGGUAUCAAGUUUUGAAUUUUUAGCAGAUAUUUUGCAAUUAACAGUCUAGGUACUGUUAAAUUUUAACUGCAAAAUGUGAUUAGAGAAACGUUACAAACUUGUUUGGAGAAUUAACAAUGAUAUCAACACUAAGAGAAACAUCACAAACUUGUUUGGAAAACUAACAAUGAUAACACUAACUACAAAUUGUAUAUUUGGUUUUUGAUUAAGUGAAAAGUUGUGUUUAGUACUUACUAAAAGAAACUAGAAAGGAGAGAGUAAUCUGAUUGUGACCAUGGCCAAUGAACUUCAGUAAGCAUUAAAGUACAGACCUUAUACAAUCCAUUUUGAUACAAGAGUCAAAUUUGAUUCAAAAACUUUGUUGUAAAGCUAUAAUAUUUCUUAUAAGACACACUUAUUAUAUACUAAUAAUACUGUUAAUUACAAUAUUAGGUAGCGAUUUUAUUUGCUUGAUUGCCUUUACCUGCUUACUAAUGAAAAAUAUUCUUUUACUUUUAGACUUGUAGAUUUAGAUUCCAGAUACAAUAUCAUCAAACAACAUACUACAGGCAGCCCCCAGUUAACAGCAGCGCCGGUUAACAGCAAUCUGGUUUUACGAGGCUUGUCUAGCGAUGGUUUUAACUAGAUUUUCUGUGCUGAUGUUUGGUUAGCAGCGCCGAUCUCUGGUUAACGGUGCCGAUGUCCGGUUAACAGCGCUGUUAAGCAAUUAUUUAGUGCUGUUAAUCCUGAUUUUCGGUUAGCAGCAUCAGCCGGGAACGGAACCCCUGCCGUUAAACAGGGACUGCCUGUAUACAUUAGGGAAUACAUGGAGAUUGAACAGAUGUUGAGAAUCAAGUUAGGAAUUCUGAGUUUUCCUUUCAAUUGCAAUGGCAUAUUAAUGUGGAAAACUGAUGAUCUCUGCCGAGCAUAAGUAAAUGCACACCAAAAACAAAUAAGAUAAUUGUUAGUAAAAUGGUGACCUAAAGAUAAUGUCUUAACCCAUUUCUAUUUUUUCCAUUCUACUGUACUAUACACCAAUGCAUAUGAGAUUGGAAGCAAAUUAUUAAAAGGAAUUUUGUUAAAAUUGUCAAUAUUUUCAAUCUAUUGAGCAAUAAUAAUAAUUUUUCAAGUAGUUGCUAUAUCUGAAAUGAGAUUAUUAUGUUCAUUGAGAAUAAGCACUUCUGACCAGAUCUGUGAGAGUUUAGAAUUUUACCUUAGUAUCCUGGUUGAACUGUUACCAUUAUUAAAUAAUAAUUACAGUAGUAUAUGUUUGCUUUUGACUCGGUUGUUCUCAAUUUUUUCAUGGUGUAAAUCCAGGAUAUAUAGAAAACAUCUGUUCAUACUCUGUACAAUGGUUCAUGGAUUUCUUUGCAUACUGUACAUGAAGCAGAAUUAUUAGUUUAACAAUUUGUACAUCAAUGAGCAACAAUGUAAAAGGGAAGUUCACAACAGAUGUUUAAAGCUAAACUGCCAACACAAAAAUGUAGUACUACUGCCUUUCAUUCUAAAUGGUUGUCCAAACCAGGUGAAAACUGUACUGCCCAUGUUACUGACAUUUAGGUAUCUGUGGUGUAGUUUUUGUGAUUGACAGACUUUAUUGCUUUGCGAGAUUUGUCAUGAAUAGGAUCUCACUAAGUUGUUUUAUAAGACCUCAUCAGAUUUUGAAAGUUCUUGUAAGAACUGUUUACCAGAUCACUUUGGUAGCCUGUAAUAAAGCAUCGUUAGUGCAGUAAUAUAAAAAUCUCACAAAGAUGAAUUGCUUUGCGGAACAAAUCCAGUCUUAAAGCACCAAUGAAAAAGACCUAAUGAAUUCUUCUAUUAUUCAAAUAAGUGAAAUAAAUAUUUAUCUUUAAAAGUAUUGGUGUACAUUGUUCCCAGCUCUUUGACUUACAUCUAUACAAAUUUGGAAGUAACAAGUGUCCCCACAUGGCAGCACAGCUAACCUGGCCUCAAUUGUGAAUUAACCUCAUUCCAGUAUGUAAAUUUUUUAAUUGAAUUAGUGAACAUAUUCAAUGAUCAUAUGGCUGUGGCAUUGGAAGCAUUCCUAAAUUUUAUGAUUUCAGUAAAUUGUAAAAUGUACAUAGGUUUGCAAUAAAAUAUUCAUUGACAUAUACAAAUUUAUGAGAUAAAUUUUCUUUAUAUAUGAUUACGUAAGUUCGUAAAACUGCUGCAUUUAGAUUAGGCAUACAACAUUUUUCCCUUUGUCAACUUCAGUGGUCACUUGUUCGGUGGUGGUAGUGUGAGCAGCAACUGAGGACAUCCAGCAACUUAGCAAGAGCCCUACACUUGCAAUAAGAGUCAUGUACACAGCCCAACCUAUUGUAGGAAAAAUAUUGUUUUAGUGAGCUGAUUUCCAUGAGGAAGGGUACUGAAUUUCAAAUUAACCAUCACAAAAAAUGAAGCAAUGAAGGAUGUGUCCCCUUUUAGAACACUUUGGAUACAAAUGUUAUACGUAUAUACAUUUAAGAACAACUUUUUAAAAGUCAUUGCUAAUUAAAAGUUUGAUUACUUUAUGGGAACCUAAUAGUAUAGUACAGUUUAGACAAAUGAUAGUAAUCCUAUAGAAACUACAAUCCUUGCUCAGUUCCCGAACUGACAAACUUGAGAGUUUUCAUAUGAUGCUUAUUGAUUGUUUUUUUAAACAAAAAUUUUAGAUAAAUGGAUAAUUUUAAGGUGUAUUUUUAAAUUUUAUAAUACUUUUUGUACUCAUGAAUGAAUGUUAAAAACAUCUAUUAGAAAGAACAGUACACCCAGUUUACAAGGCCUCAUUGCAAGCUGAUCUUUCAUGAUAUUUCAGUUAUUGCACAUCUGGAAGUAGAGAUUUCACAAAGGCAUAUUGACUGAAAGGGUUAAUACAUGUUGACACUUGUUCCAGUAAAGCCUAGCCAACCUUUUUGCCAAAAGUGGGUUACUAUUUUCUGUGAUGAUCAUCCUCUGUACUUGUUGGUACUUUGAUGGCUGAAAUCAGUGAUGGUGAAAGAUGUUAUGUCUGAAUUGAGAAGUCUAAAGAAACAAUGCUCUUAAUAAAGGAUUCUGAUGCAUAUUUGCCUUGGAACUGAUUCGAAUGGGAAAUUAAGACGUUGAAAGCCUUUUCAAUAUACAGUAAUAUAAGUUAGAAGACAGUGGAGAGAUGUAGAUGGAGUAGUAUGUGAUAAGAAAAUGCCAAUUAAGCUAAUAGUCAAAAUCUAUGGCACAGUAAGAAGACCAGUGUUAAUGUAUGGAUUGGAAAGAUGAGCUCUAAGAAGAAAAGAGGAAGUAAAGCUUGAAAGAACAGAGAUGAGAAUGCUGAGGUGGAUUAUGGGAAUAUUGCUGCUUGAGAGAUUGGAAAAUGAUAAACUAAGAAGAGCAGGCUUAGUAAAGAUUUCAGAGGUGAUAGGAGUCAGGAUUGAGAUGUUAUGGGCAUGUGUUGAGGAUGAAUGACGAGAAGGGAGUGAAAAGGGCUGGGGAAGAACCUGUUAGAGGAAGAAGAUCGAGAGGGUGACAGAGAAUUACAUGGCGAGAUAAAUUGAAGGAAGGUAUGGAGAGAAGAGGUUUGAUGGAUGAUGAUGUCUUUGAUAGAAGGCAGUGGAAAAGGCGCAUCAGGCAACCGACCCCUUAAUGUGGGGAUAAUGGUGGGAAAAAAAGAAGAGUAUAAGUUAGAAGACAAGAACUGAUUAAACAAAUCAUAGAAACUUGAAGGUAUAGAUUAUUAUUGUGGUGUAUAUCAUAUGAUUGAAAUUAUAUAAUUCCUAACAUUUACAAUUGUAGAACUGUACUGAUAAUUAUUGAAGAAAUGACUCUC